rnacentral:rRNA from 1 species
AGGAAUAUUGGUCAAUGGACGCAAGUCUGAACCAGCCAUGCCGCGUGAAGGAUGAAGGUCCUCUGGAUUGUAAACUUCUUUUAUCUGGGACGAAAACGGGAUUUUUAUCUCAAUUGACGGUACCAGAGGAAUAAGCACCGGCUAACUCCGUGCCAGCAGCCGCGGUAAUACGGAGGGUGCGAGCGUUAUCCGGAUUUACUGGGUUUAAAGGGUGCGUAGGUGGGCUUAUAAGUCAGUGGUGAAAUCUCCGAGCUUUACUUGGAAACUGCCGUGGAUACUAUAGGUCUUGAAUUAUCUGGAGNUAAGCGGAAUAUGUCAUGUAGCGGUGAAAUGCUUAGAUAUGACAUAGAACACCAAUUGCGAAGGCAGCUUACUACAUAUAAAUUGACGCUGAGGCAUGAAAGCGUGGGGAUCAAACA